rnacentral:rRNA from 1 species
UACAGAGGUCUCGAGCGUUGUUCGGAUUCAUUGGGCGUAAAGGGCGCGUAGGCGGCGGGGUAAGUCUGGUGUGAAAUCUCGGAGCUCAACUCCGAAAUUGCACUGGAUACUGCUCUGCUAGAGGGCUGGAGAGGAGAUCGGAAUUCACGGUGUAGCAGUGAAAUGCGUAGAUAUCGUGAGGAAGACCAGUGGCGAAGGCGGAUCUCUGGACAUUUCCUGACGCUGAGGCACGAAAGCCAGGGGAGCAAACGGG